rnacentral:lncRNA from 13 species
AGAGAUUCCCGAAUCAGACAAUGCUUUAGGGACUUUGCAACUUCAGAUUAGAGGCCUUGACUACUUUUUCUCCAUUGUCCUUCAUCUCAGAAACAUCAAUUCUCUCCCCAACAGUGGCUUUUCCCUUAAAAUAGGUAAGAGGACAUAGAGGAUUCCUUACUCACAUUAGAGGGAGAUGUCAACACAGGUUUAAGUGACAUCUUUGGACAUUUCAUAAGGUCACUAUCAUAUUUCACCAGGAAUCCUGGAAGAACCCCGUUAAGUUUCCCAGAGGCAGCCUUGCCCCUCUGGUCAGUUCUCCACACUAGAAUGAGAGUUGGAAGGUUAUUGUUUUCAUAA